rnacentral:rRNA from 1 species
UACGGGGGGGGCAAGCGUUGUUCGGAAUUACUGGGCGUAAAGGGCUCGUAGGUGGCCAACUAAGUCAGACGUGAAAUCCCUCGGCUUAACCGGGGAAUUGCGUCUGAUACUGGAUGGCUUGAGUUUGGGAGAGGGAUGCGGAAUUCCAGGUGUAGCGGUGAAAUGCGUAGAUAUCUGGAGGAAUACCGGUGGCGAAGGCGGCAUCCUGGACCGACAUUGACGCUGAGGAGCGAAAGCUAGGGGAGCAAACGGG